GGAGUUAGCCGGUGCUUCUUCUGUGAGUGAUGUCCUUCCUGCCGGUUAUUGACCCGCAGGCCUUCUUCCUCACUGAAAGUGCUUUACAACCCGAAGGCCUUCUUCACACACGCGGCAUGGCUGGAUCAGGGUUGCCCCCAUUGUCCAAUAUUCCCCACUGCUGCCUCCCGUAGGAGUCUGGGCCGUGUCUCAGUCCCAGUGUGGCUGAUCAUCCUCUCAGACCAGCUACGGAUCGUCGCCUUGGUGAGCCGUUACCUCACCAACCAGCUAAUCCGACAUAGGCUCAUCCGAUAGCGCGAGGCCCGAAGGUCCCCCGCUUUCCCCCGUAGGGCGUAUGCGGUAUUAGCCUGGGUUUCCCCAGGUUAUCCCCCACUACCGGGCAGAUUCCUAUGCAUUACUCACCCGUCCGCCGCUCGCCACCAGGGAGCAAGCUCCCCGUGCUGCCGCUCGACUUGCAUGUGUUAGGCCUGCCGACAGCGUUCAAUCUGAGCCAGAAUCGAACCCUGA
rnacentral:rRNA from 1 species